rnacentral:rRNA from 1 species
GACGAACGCUGGCGGCGUGCUUAACACAUGCAAGUCGAACGGAAAGGCCCUGCUUUUGUGGGGUGCUCGAGUGGCGAACGGGUGAGUAACACGUGAGUAACCUGCCCUUGACUUUGGGAUAACUUCAGGAAACUGGGGCUAAUACCGGAUAGGAGCUCCUGCUGCAUGGUGGGGGUUGGAAAGUUUCGGCGGUUGGGGAUGGACUCGCGGCUUAUCAGCUUGUUGGUGGGGUAGUGGCUUACCAAGGCUUUGACGGGUAGCCGGCCUGAGAGGGUGACCGGCCACAUUGGGACUGAGAUACGGCCCAGACUCCUACGAGAGGCAGCAGUGGGGAAUAUUGCACAAUGGGCGGAAGCCUGAUGCAGCAACGCCGCGUGCGGGAUGACGGCCUUCGGGUUGUAAACCGCUUUCGCCAGUGACGAAGCGUGAGUGACGGUAAUGGGUAAAGAAGCACCGGCUAACUACGUG